GGUUGUGGCUCAGUGGUAAAGUGCUCGCUUCGCACAUGCAAGACCCUUCGUUCGAUCCUCAGCACCA
rnacentral:tRNA from 1 species